CUGCUUCUCGGUUUUGGCAUCACUCGGUGUUGGUGGAGGAGUUUGGGAAUAUGGUAUGUCGCUCGCUGAAAGUAUAAGUCAAUUAGAAAAGUUCUCUUUGGGGCCACAAACAGUUGAAAUUCGAAAUCGAAUAAGUUAUUUUUUGAAAACAAUUUAUAUAGAUAAUAUGUGAAUAUAUUCUGCUUUAUAUUAAACUCAAAAGAAUGCAUAACAAAUCAAAUUAAAUCUGAACAAUCUAAUAAAACAACGAAACUACGAAUUAUCUUAAGUGCAUGACAUUCCAAAUUAAGAAUAAAAUGGGAACGAAAGAUAUAUGAUAAAUAAAGACAGUAAAGAAAUAAUUCA